rnacentral:rRNA from 1 species
GACGGGGCCCGCACAAGCGGUGGAGUAUGUGGUUUAAUUCGAUGCAACGCGAAGAACCUUACCUGGUCUUGACAUCCCGGAGACCCUUAGGAAACUAGGGGGUGCUUCCAUCUGGAAGAAUCUGGAGACAGGUGCUGCAUGGCUGUCGUCAGCUCGUGUCGUGAGAUGUUGGGUUUAAGUCCCGCAACGAGCGCAACCCUUGCCUUUAGUUGCCAGCAGUUCGGCUGGGCACUCUAAAGGGACUGCCGGUGUUAAACCGGAGGAAGGUGGGGAUGACGUCAAGUCCUCAUGGCCUUUAUGACCAGGGCUACACACGUACUACAAUGGCCGAUACAAAGGGCAGCGACACUGCGAGGUGAAGCCAAUCCCGUAAAAUCGGUCUCAGUCCGGAUUGGAGUCUGCAACUCGACUCCAUGAAGUUGGAAUCGCUAGUAAUCGUGGAUCAGCAUGCCACGGUGAAUACGUUCCCGGGCCUU